AAGUCUAGCUUGUUUCAAAUGUUUUUCAGCCAAUCAUCACUCUCCGAAAGUCCUGGAACGUAAACUUGACCACAAAAAAAAUAUUUUCCGGCAGCCAUUGUUUUGAUCAUACCUACCCGAUGAAAAAUCCAAGGUUCCGUUUCACGCCCUCACAGGAGUUGGUCCUCAAGGCCACACCCCAGGCAGUAAAAGUGGACGCUGACGGCCCCCCCUGCUUCUGGUGCUCAGGGCCCCACUGCUUCUGGUGGUCAGGGCCCUCCUGUGAGGACGCCUUAACUCGCUACUCGUGCGCCUAUCCGGCCUUCACUGAGAUGGUCAGGUUCAACCGGAUGCACGAGGAAGCUAAAGUCCUGUCCUCCUAGCCAGGCCAGGAGGACAAGGCCCUUGUUGGCAUCAGGAAGUACAAGUGGGACUCACUGCAGGACCUGGGUGCAGACAGGAUAAAGUAAUGUGUGCUGCGCGUCUUUUGUGUUUUCUAUGUUCAUCUCAGUGUGUUCUAUGCAACAUUUUACAUCUGAAACGUUCCCUCUGCUGUGUCUCACGCAGAUAUGUCAGGAGCAUGAGGAUGCAGACACCCCGUUAUCCUGGGAGUGCGAUGGCCGCCUUGAUUGACUACUACAUUCAGCGCAGAGACCAGGAGGGGGUAGUUGCUGUGGCCAGGCCCGCCAGCACCAUCCGGCCCAAGAGUGCGGCUACGUAAGUGUAGGGGCCGGACCCUGAUUGGCUACGUAAGUGUAGGGGCCGGACCCUGAUAUGCUACGUAAGUGUAGGGGCCGGACCCUGAUUGCCUACGUAAGUGUAGGGGCCGGACCCUGAUUGCCUACGUAAGUGUAGGGGCCGGACCCUGAUUGGCUACGUAAGUGUAGGGGCCGGACCCUGAUUGGCUACGUGAGUGUAGGGGCCGGACCCUGAUUGCCUACGUGAGUGUAGGGGCCGGACCCUGAUUGGCUACGUGAGUGUAGGGGCCGGACCCUGAUUGGCUACGUAAGUGUAGGGGCCGGACCCUGAUUGGCUACGUGAAUGUAGGGGCCGGACCCUGAUUGGCCGUGAGUGUAGGGGCCGGACCCUGAUUGGCUACGUGAGUGUAGGGGCCGGACCCUGAUUGGCUACGUGAGUGUGGGGCCGGACCCUGAUUGGCUACGUGAGUGU